ensembl:lncRNA
CUUCUUCAGAGACUGAAGAGAAAAUCUUAGUCAUUUGUUCUGACCAAGUAAAGUUGUGACGAAGUAAGAAAGUAAGUAUUCAAAUAAAAUCUGCAGGCUGAGCUUAGCCACGCGGACAGAGCGGUCUCCGGCUGACUGCACCCUGCUCUGUCCAGCUCGCUCCGCCCACUUGCGACCAGGAGCCUGUGAAGACCCGCCGGGCACGCCCACCAGCCACCAGCUUAGCCGCACUGGCGCCUGCAACAACGUCCCGCGCCCCCUCCGGCCUCUGGCCUCCUGGCUGUGCAGCUACUUGGUUCCACACUGCGGAGGCAAAGGGGGGCAUAAAGGCCAUUGUCCUGAGCUGCAGAAGUGAACAACAGAGGGAGGGCCUCUCUCAGGAUCCCUGAUGAAAACUGAAGCCCGUUGGAAAAAUGAAGAGAAUCUCUGCAAUAAAGGCACACCAGGCCGCCAUGCUUGGCUCUUCACCCACCUGGCCUAAUCAGCAUUCAAUUAGAAAAUCAGAAGCUGCCUUGAAGAGAAAGGGGAUGUUUGAUACAGACAUUGGGAAGCUGAAAGAAUAUGCAAUUAUGAAGUAGUCACUCCCAUCUCUGCAUGACUAGAAGAUCUCAGAGAGUCCCUGCUGCUCACUGCACAACUGGCACUUAGACCUUGUAUUAAUCAGGGAAAUAGAACCAAUGGGAUACAGACAGAAAAAAUAGGUGAUUAAUUGGCUCAUAGAAUUAUGAAGGCCAAAAAGUCCCAUGAUCUGUUGUCCAUAAACUGGAGAACCAAGAAAACCUGUGAUAUAAUUCAUUCUGAGGCCAAAGGCAUAUGAAGGACAUUAGAUGGUGCUGGUCUGAGUCCCAGACUCUGAGGCUCAAGAUCCAGGGACUGUGAUGUUUGACAGUAGAUAGGAUGUCCAAAGGCAGGAAAGGAUUAUGUCCCAGCUGAAGAAGAGAACACAUUUGCCCUACCUCCACCUUUAUGUUCCACUGCAUCACGCCUUUGAUAGAUUGGAUGAUGCCCACCCAUGUUAGUGAGAGCAUAUCUCCUUGAGUCAGUCUGCUUAUUCAAAGAUGAUUCUAGAAACACUUUCACAGACACACCCAGAAAUAAUGUUUUAACAACUAUCUGGGAAUCACUUAAGUACCAAGUUGAUACCUAAAAUUAACCAUCAUACCCCUCAACCAUGGGGCCCAACUGGCUGAUGCUGGCACCUCUGAGAAAGUACCUGGCCUGUCCUUUCACUGGGACUGAAUAAAAAAGCUAGAGACUGGACCUGUGGCCAACUUCUGUGACUAAAGUAACAAUGACAACAAGUAGAAGCAGGAAGAAAGUCCAUUCUGUACUUCUCAUUCCUUCUCAGCUGCCCUUAGUAAGAAUGAAGCUGGAAAAGGACAUUGAGGAAAACAGUUUGCAAACCACAGCCAGAGCUUUAAGAACCCAAUUCUAGAAGGGUGGAUAUGGAGCUAAAAGACAAGACACAGAUGACCAGCCUGGGACUUGUCCUGGGUCCACUCUUCUUACUAAACUCACUUUCUUGUCAUGGUCUCUAUUUCUAGGAAUGAAGUCUCAUAGUUCCAGCCACUACCCGUGUGCCAAUGGCAUCCAAACCUAUCUAUCCAAUGCCAACCCCUCUUCUGAACUUCAGACACAUUUCUGAACCUUGGAUGUAUUUCCUUACUAGGAGUCUCCAUCUUGAUGGUCCUCUAAUUAACCAGCAUACAUAUUGGACUCAUCAUCUUUGCUCCUCAGCCUGCU